rnacentral:rRNA from 1 species
GGAAUCUUGCGCAAUGGGCGAAAGCCUGACGCAGCCAUGCCGCGUGAAUGAUGAAGGUCUUAGGAUUGUAAAAUUCUUUCAGUAGGGACGAUAAUGACGGUACCUACAGAAGAAGCCCCGGCUAACUUCGUGCCAGCAGCCGCGGUAAUACGAAGGGGGCUAGCGUUGCUCGGAAUUACUGGGCGUAAAGGGAGCGUAGGCGGACAUUUAAGUCAGGGGUGAAAUCCCGGGGCUCAACCUCGGAAUUGCCUUUGAUACUGGGUGUUUUGAGUAUGAGAGAGGUAUGUGGAACUCCGAGUGUAGAGGUGAAAUUCGUAGAUAUUCGGAAGAACACCAGUGGCGAAGGCGACAUACUGGCUCAUUACUGACGCUGAGGCUCGAAAGCGUGGGGAGCAAACAGGAUUAGAUACCCGAG